GAUGAACGCUGGCGGCGUGCUUAACACAUGCAAGUCGAACGGUGAAGCAGGAGCUUGCUCCUGUGGAUCAGUGGCGAACGGGUGAGUAACACGUGAGCAAUCUGCCCUGGACUCUGGGAUAAGCGUUGGAAACGACGUCUAAUACCGGAUACGAGGCGUGGGGGCAUCCCCAACGCCUGGAAAGAACUUCGGUCCAGGAUGAGCUCGCGGCCUAUCAGGUAGUUGGUGAGGUAACGGCUCACCAAGCCUACGACGGGUAGCCGGCCUGAGAGGGUGACCGGCCACACUGGGACUGAGACACGGACCAGACUCCUACGGGAGGCAGCAGUGGGGAAUAUUGCACAAUGGGCGCAAGCCUGAUGCAGCAACGCCGCGUGAGGGACGACGGCCUUCGGGUUGUAAACCUCUUUUAGCAGGGAGGAAGCGAAAGUGACGGUACCUGCAGAAAAAGCACCGGCUAACUACGUGCCAGCCGCCGCCGUAACAC
rnacentral:rRNA from 1 species